UACAGGGAACACUGCCUGUCAGCUAUCAGUUCAACCAUUGGGCGGAACGCUGGGAGGCGGGAGCAAGGUUCCUACUUGAUGGCCCAUUGGGUCAAUGCCUACCGGUCCUUUAUUGACUGUUGUGGCUUAACUGCCAUUUGCUAACUGCCGCCUCCAUCCACCACUUGCCUUUCUGGGUCUGUUACUUCUUCACUCCGCUUUCCCUGCUCCCCAAUACUUUAGGAGAGCCCAAAGCAGAAUCCAGCCUUGGGUCUGCCAUAAGCUCCAAAAGCCCCGCUAUGUCCGGAGAGAGAGAUCGCUCAUGUUCUCCAGAACCUGCACAUCGAUUUCUGCCGAGACCAGGGUCAGCAACAUGUAGCGGCUGGCGUUGAGCCCCCUGAGGAAUGUAAAUAACUGGCGCGGCCAAAGAAGGGCGCCUUCCAUCCCUGCUGCAUGCAGUGCCACGGACGCGUGAGAAGUGGCUAGCCGGCGGGCAAAGUGAGCCCCCAGGUUUUGUGCCACCGAGCGCGAAAUGAAGACUAUGAAGGCAGAACCUGGCUUGUAGAGGGCCGGUUCAUCCAGGCGCUGCUCGCGGGCAGGUUACUGAGGAGCUUUUCUUUAAAAAAAAAAAAAUUAUUUCGACUGUA